AUUGAACGCUGGCGGCAGGCCUAACACAUGCAAGUCGAGCGAGCGGCGGACGGGUGAGUAAUGCCUGGGAAUUGCCCAGUCGACGGCGAUAACAGUUGGAAACGACCGCUAAUACCGCAUACGACUGGCUUGCCCAGGUGGGAUUAGCUAGUUGGUGAGGUAAUGGCUCACCAAGGCGACGAUCCCUAGCUGGUCUGAGCGGAUGAUCAGCCACACUGGAACUGAGACACGGUCCAGACCCCUCCGGGAGGCAGCAGUGGGGAAUAUUGCACAGUGGGGGAAACCCGGAUGCAGCCAUACCGCGUGUGGGAGGAAGGCCUUCGGGUUGUAAAGCACUUACAGCGAGGAGGCGUUACUCGCAGAAGAAGCACCGGCGAACUCCGUGCCAGCAGCCGCGGUAAUUC
rnacentral:rRNA from 1 species